UACGGGGGGGGCAAGCGUUGUUCGGAAUUACUGGGCGUAAAGGGUUCGUAGGUGGCCUACUAAGUCAGACGUGAAAUCCCUCAGCUCAACUGGGGAACUGCGUCUGAGACUGGAAGGCUUGAGUGCAGGAGAGGAACGCGGAAUUCCAGGUGUAGCGGUGAAAUGCGUAGAUAUCUGGAGGAACACCGGUGGCGAAGGCGACAUCCUGGACCAACACUGACGCUGAGUGAGCGAAAGCCAGGGGAGCAAACGGG
rnacentral:rRNA from 1 species